GGUGAGGUGCGAGAGCGGUUGAAUCGGGCGGUCUCGAAAACCGUUGAACCUUCGCGGGUUCCGUGGGUUCGAAUCCCACCCUCACCGCCA
rnacentral:tRNA from 1 species